rnacentral:rRNA from 1 species
UACGUAGGGGGCAAGCGUUGUCCGGAAUUAUUGGGCGUAAAGAGCGUGUAGGCGGCCAGAUAAGUCCGCUGUGAAAUCUCGAGGCUCAACUUCGAGCUGUCGGUGGAAACUAUCUGGCUAGAGUCCGGAAGAGGAGAAUGGAAUUCCUGGUGUAGCGGUGAAAUGCGUAGAUAUCAGGAAGAACACCCGUGGCGAAAGCGGCUCUCUGGGACGGUACUGACGCUGAGACGCGAAAGCGUGGGGAGCGAACAGG